rnacentral:siRNA from 1 species
CGUCGCGAGAAGUCCACU